rnacentral:rRNA from 1 species
UACGGAAGGCAGCAGUGGGGAAUAUUGCACAAUGGGCGCAAGCCUGAUGCAGCCAUGCCGCGUGUAUGAAAAAGGCCUUCGGGUUGUAAAGUACUUUCAGUCGUGAGGAAGGUGUUAAGGUUAAUAACCUUAGCAAUUGACGUUAGCGACAGAAGAAGCACCGGCUAACUCCGUGCCAGCAGCCGCGGUAAUACGGAGGGUGCGAGCGUUAAUCGGAAUUACUGGGCGUAAAGGGCACGCAGGCGGUUAAUUAAGUUGGAUGUGAAAUCCCCGGGCUUAACCUGGGAAUGGCAUUCAAGACUGGUUAGCUAGAGUCUUGUAGAGGGGGUAGAAUUCCAUGUGUAGCGGUGAAAUGCGUAGAGAUGUGGAGGAAUACCGGUGGCGAAGGCGGCCCCCUGGACAAAGGACUGACGCUCAUGUGCGAAAGCGUGGGGAGCAAAC